rnacentral:misc_RNA from 1 species
UACGUAGGGUGCAAGCGUUAUCCGGAAUCAUUGGGCGUAAAGAGCUCGUAGGCGGUCCAACAAGUCGGAUGUGAAAGUCCGAGGCUCAACCUCGGAAUUGCAGUCGAUACUGUGGUGACUCGAGUCCGGUAGAGGAGAAUGGAAUUCCGGGUGUAGCGGUGAAAUGCGCAGAUAUCGGGAGGAACACCAGUGGCGAAGGCGGUUCUCUGGGCCGGCACUGACGCUGAGGAGCGAAAGCGUGGGGAGCAAACAGG